rnacentral:rRNA from 1 species
AUAUUGCACAAUGGGGGAAACCCUGAGGCAGCAACGCCGCGUGAGCGAUGAAGGCCUUCGGGCCGAAAAGCUCGUCCCUAAGGGAAGAUAAUGAUGGUACCUUAGGAGGAAGCCCCGGAUAACUAAGUGCCAGCAGCCGCGGUAAUACGUAGGGGGCAACCGUUAACCGGAAUCAUUGGGCGUAAAGGGGGCGUAGGCUGCCCUAUAGGUCAGAGGUCAAAGGCUACGGCUCAACCGUAGUAAGCCUUUGAAACUGUAGGGCUUGAGUGCAGGAGAGGAGAGUGGAAUUCCUAGUGUAGCGGUGAAAUGCGUAGAUAUUAGGAGGAACACCAGUGGCGAAGGCGACUCUCUGGACUGCAACUGACGCUGAGGCACGAAAGCGUGGGUAGCGAACA